ACCAAGCGCGGGUAAACGGCGG
rnacentral:sRNA from 1 species